rnacentral:lncRNA from 1 species
UACACAAUAUCAAUUUAGGGUCUAAUUCAUAGCGAGUAGCGUUCUUGAUGGUCAUGCGCUCUAAUCUUGAUUCUAGUAAGAGUCUUUAGAGAAUAUCUCAAUCUCAUUGUCACAACCUCAUGACAACUCUUACAUAAAUGAGUCCUCCAAAGGUGUGAACUUGCACCUCAUGAGAAUUCUUGCAUCGGUAUUCAUUCACGGUUAAAUCCUUCCUAACAUCACAAUAUUAUUAGCACUAUCAUCAUAGAGAUGAGCACAAAUAAAAUAGUGUUAAUACAAGUCACGUAGUACGAGUUGUUUCUACCACAUUGAAUCUUCUUCAUAAGAUCUUCAAUCACAGAGGUUGGAUUACUCUUGGAGGUGACUCCCCUAUGGACUUAAACCCAUCCCGCUUGAUGAUCUAUUAUGUUCAUUAUGAACUAUAAUUUAUUUCAUAUCCCUUUUGGACAAUAAUUUGGGAUCAUCAAUUUGCAAUGCUUUUCUUCUUCACCUGCACAUCUGCAAAAUAUACUAAAAUAUCGAUAUCACAUAUCUAAAUUUAGCAGGAUAAACAUACGAAUUCUUUAAUAUUGAUUUUUAGCAAUAUGUUUGAGCAGAUAUAUACAUUCAACUCAUGUAUUUCACCUACAAUCUUUAGAUUCAAUAUAAACACUUUGCUUGCAACGUCAAUCUCAUGAUAAUAUGAAUAAUCAUGUAUAAAGUACAUGCAUCUGAAUUUUUUUUAAUACUCCUGUAUUUCAAAAAGAUCCAGCUUGAAUAGAGUAAAUAUAUGAUCUUACAAUUUAUCUCUUUGAAUAGGAUCAAACAUUAUGAGGAGAACAUUGAUGCACAUGUUUAUCAACCCCACAAUUUCUUAGUUCUAUCAGCCAUUAUAUUAACAAAUUCUUCUUUAAACACAUUCGCAAAAUAUUGGUCAUAAUGCUAAAGAGUAAUCACAUUUGCAAACUAGAGCAUAAAUCAAAAAUGUCAAGAGAUCAUAUCAAUUUGUUAAAUGUGAAAGAAAUGAGUGAAAUGGACAGCAAGGUAGGACCAAUUCUCCAUUCAAUCAUUACAUUUAUAACCUCAGACAAUUAAAUUCUCAAAUAUGCAUGGUGGUGAAAUUGGUUGUAACUUGUAAGGAAUGUGUAAAGAAAACAAGUGCUACUAAGUACAUGUUCUUUUUUUAUUUGCCAAAUUUUGUUCUAUAAGUAAGAAGACUUUGAAAGAGAUUUGAGUGAAAUUCAACUUCAUCAGAUUCAUAUUUGAUAAAAGUAUCCUGCUACUUAAAAUCACACACGCCUUUGAAGAAUUAUGUCAAUGUAUUUAAAAUGUAACUUUUCUUUAUUUAAUAUUUCAAAAUAUAUCAAGACAUGUAGGCCCUGUUCUCUUUACCGUUUUCGGGCCGUUUUCUGUUUUCGAUUUUUCAAAACGGUGAAAACGCGUUCUCUU